rnacentral:rRNA from 1 species
CAGGGAAUCUUGCGCAAUGGGCGAAAGCCUGACGCAGCGACGCCGCGUGGGGGAAGAAGGCCUUAGGGUUGUAAACCCCUUUUCUCGGGGACGAAACAAGACGGUACCCGAGGAAUAAGCUCCGGCUAACUACGUGCCAGCAGCCGCGGUAAUACGUAGGGAGCGAGCGUUGUCCGGAUUUACUGGGCGUAAAGGGCGCGUAGGCGGGGCAGCACCUCUCCGGUGAAAUCUCCCGGCUUAACCGGGAGGGGUCCGGGGAAAGGGCUGCUCUUGAGGGCGGUAGAGGCGAGUGGAAUUCCCGGUGUAGUGGUGAUAUGCGUAGAUAUCGGGAGGAACACCCGUGGCGAAAGCGACUCGCUGGACCGACCCUGACGCUGAGGCGCGAAAGCGUGGGGAGCAAACCGG